rnacentral:rRNA from 1 species
AACGCGAAGAACCUUACCUGGGCUCGAACGGCUGGUCAACGGAGGUGGAAACAUCUUUACCCCGCAAGGGGGUCCAGUCGAGGUGCUGCAUGGCUGUCGUCAGCUCGUGUCGUGAGAUGUUGGGUUAAGUCCCGCAACGAGCGCAACCCUUGUCCUGUGUUGCCAUGCCGAAAGGCGGAACUCGCAGGAGACCGCCAGCGAUAAGCUGGAGGAAGGUGGGGAUGACGUCAAGUCCUCAUGGCCUUUAUGUCCAGGGCUACACACGUGCUACAAUGGACGGUACAAAGGGUCGCUAACCCGCGAGGGGGAGCCAAUCCCAAAAAACCGUUCUCAGUUCGGAUUGCAGGCUGCAACCCGCCUGCAUGAAGCUGGAAUCGCUAGUAAUGGCAGAUCAGCACGCUGCCGUGAAUACGUUCCCGGGCCUUGUA